CUGCUGCUGAUAUUUCAAAUUCCCUUUACAGUAGUAAUGGUGGUUGCAUUAGAAAAUGUUAUCUAGUUUGAAAGAGUACUUGUACGCAUAGUAGGAGACAAAAGUAAUUGAAUAUUUGAUUAUUGAAAGGUUUGGAUUUCAAAUGUAUGAAUGACAAGUAUUUGUUCAAUCGUACAAAAAUAUGGUCUUGAAGCUAGACUAUCAUCUACAAUAUUGGUUCGUCCCAUACAUUUUCAAACCUUAUAUCUAUAAGUGAUAACCUUUUUCAAAAAUAUGUAGGGUGCAAACUUCACACAACACUUAUCAUUCUUGAAUGCUUACAGUCCAUCUAGAAGAGAACAAGUGAAAACAAAAGAUGCAAAAUUAGAGAAAACUGUGCUUAUCACUCAUUAGAAUUCUCAGAGAAGAGGAGUGGAAAGAAAAUCAGACCAAAAUCCCACCUCACUCUAAAAUACUACCCAAAUCUUUCAUUCCUUCUUUCCAGAGAUUGUAAUCUCAUCUCUUUAACGUCUCUCCAUCCUAGUCUGUUCGAAAAAAUAAAUCUAACACCAUCGCUCCACCGUACCAUACACCUACAUCACGGAUUCACAAGAUCUAGCCGGUGGUAGAUUUAGAGACGACAAAAUCCUUGGACGGAGGAAUCCCCAAACUUGCGUAGUUGUCGCUCUCAGUCGGACCUUCGUCGGACUCUCUGAAAUCCACCACUGCAGAUCAAAAUUCACCUCCUGCAAAUCAAAUCCACCUCCACUCCCUCGUCGGACCCUCGUCACACAUGUUUCCCCUUCAUCUUCCCCGCUAGAUAUGAAAUCUACACACACAUCACCGAAAUUUUUGCUCUUCUCAUCUCCGUCAACAUCUUUCUUAUUCUCUUUGUUAUUGUCGUCUUUGUUUUUCUUCGUGAUUGGAGAGAGAAUUUUCACCUUCUUAGUUUUCUGCGAGAUUUCCU
rnacentral:lncRNA from 1 species